AAUGCACAAAUAUUUCAUUAUCUUUGUUCAAAGGUCAAAAUUAACUCUGUUUUUGUUCUUGUAUUUUAAUGGAACUCAGCAUACGAGAGCUGUGUGAUGGUGAGCAUCAUUUAUUUUCGCCAGAAGAGGUACUGUCCAACAUCAAGAUUGAGCCCGAUGACAGCGAACCGAACCUGCAGGAGGCUGUUACAGAAUCAAAGAACAAUAUAGAAAAGGUGGUAGAGUCAGUACUGGAGAGAAACUGGGAAGGAAACAUGGAAGGCGGUUCCAUUGUGCUGCAUGCUACAGCAGAAUUCCGCCGUACAUUGGGUGACAUCACCACGUAUGGUCUGGCUGGCAACAGGGAUGAGUACAUUCAGGAACUACUUGUGAGUGCAAUACAACCAUUUGCAGAUUUGGUAAGGGCACUUUGGUUUAGCAUGUGUCAACACUGGAUACAGUUCAUUGCCCAUCUACAGUUAUUUACUGCAGCUGCAGCAGAGUUAGAAUAUAUUUUAAUUACAGUUGAAUUUCAUGAUAAUGGAUAUAUAAAUUACUGAACUGAGUACAGAACUGGAAACAUCUAAUGAAAGGUCCUAGAAAUGAAAGCCCUCUAUACACUAAGAAUGUGAUAGUUGAAAUGGUAGAGCCUUUUUCUUCUUCUUCUUGACAAAUGGUGUCUUCUGGAAUAAAAUGCCAUAUAAAGUGGUAAAGUACAUAAGCAUUUUCAAGGAAUGGCAGUUGACUUACAAGGUGGAGUAUAGCCUGUCGAUUGGUAGCACAUUCUUUAGGGGAAAAUAAAGUUUUCAUAGUAAUUGCCAUUUUAAGAAAAAUUCCAAGGAGGAAGCGGCUUUUCUGUGGAAACAGACAAGAUUAUGGGACCACUGUAUAUAUCAUCCAUGUGUGCCAUCCUCACCUAAAUGUGUGAACCAACUGAUGGAUUUAUGUGAAACUCUGCAUUUUCAUUGUGCCAUUUCCCAUGUUCUUUCAGUUGUCUACCAUCAGCCAUAUUAACAUGGCAACUGAGCUGGGAGCAACACUAGAGCCACUUAGAGUAGGGUCCUUAAGAAGAAGGUCCUGGGGUAAGCUGUUAUACCCAUUCAGAAGGUUCUGAGUUUUAUCCUUGGUGACAUCUGAGUACAGAUUUCUCUGCUCUCAGAUGAUGCCUUCACAUCUACCAGAGUUAAAGCUUUGGGAAUACAAAGGAUACCCCCCUCCCAUGUUAAAAUGUAGGGUCCCUUUGCUUACCAGGACUAUCAUGAUUACCCUAUCAUGGGGGUUGAGAUUAUUGUCUCCACCUCAGAUGCUUUCAGUAGAACAUUUUGUUAUAUAUGUGUUGUUUGACUUCCUUUUCUCCCAUUUUGUAUGUGACAGUUUCUAAGUAGCCAACGUAUUGUGACAUUUGGGUGUGUAAAUACUUUGUACUUGAUACAGUUUGUUGUGUAGGCAUAGAAUGUGGCAGAAUGGUUCAUUUUGCAGAUAGGUUGAAUGAAUUAAGAAGAAACAUGCCUCAAAAUUAUUACUGUCCCACGUACUUUUAUUAAAAUAUUUUGCGUUAAUCAUUUCAAUCUCUGUGACUUUAAGGUGCUGUAGCAUGCCAAUUUUUGGUUGUUGGCUGUAUGAGUAAGUUGUGUUGGAAAACAGAAUGUUACAUGUUACAAUAUUUUUAUAAUUUCACAAAAUAACAGAUUGGAUGAAAUAUGGAUCAUACCCCUAUUUUCUGGCUGGAACUUCAGGAUGAAAGGGUGUUCCGUUUUACAUGGAAACAUGUAAUUCUGUAAUUACAUUCUGUAAGAUCCUAAAAUACAGUGACUUUAAUGUUGUCUCUCUUUCUAAUUUCAGAAACCUGUCUCAUAAAUUUCAUAGAAAGGGACCUGGCAGAAAGAAAGUAGUGAAACAAAUGAAGAAGAAUGAACAGGAAGGAGGCAACCAUCUUGAAAACAAGACUGCAAAUUCUUCGUGAAAUACACUGGCACCAACUCUGAAAUUUAGUGUGGACUUAUAUUUUUAUUGUUUGUUACUGUGUGGAAUAUCAUCUCUAUAUUUAAGUAA